rnacentral:rRNA from 1 species
CCUACGGGAGGCAGCAGUAGGGAAUAUUGCUCAAUGGGGGAAACCCUGAAGCAGCAACGCCGCGUGGAGGAUGAAGGUUUUCGGAUUGUAAACUCCUUUUGUUAGAGAAGAUAAUGACGGUAUCUAACGAAUAAGCACCGGCUAACUCCGUGCCAGCAGCCGAGGCAAUACGGAGGGUGCAAGCGUUACUCGGAAGCACUGGGCGUAAAGAGCGCGUAGGCGGGUUAUGAAGUCAGAUGUGAAAUCCUAUGGCUUAACCAUAGAACUGCAUUUGAAACUGUUAUUCUAGAGUAUAGGAGAGGUAGGUGGAAUUCGUGGUGUAGGGGUAAAAUCCGUAGAGAUCAAGAGGAAUACUCAUUGCGAAGGCGACCUGCUAGAACAUAACUGACGCUGAUGCGCGAAAGCGUGGGGAGCAAACAGGAUUAGAUACCCCAGUAGUC